rnacentral:rRNA from 1 species
GCUGAUGACCAAAUCACCUGGGUCGUGCCAGAUCUCGUCAGAUCUCAGAAGCUAAGCAGGUUAGAGCCUGGUUUGUAUUUUGAUGGACGAUAGUUAUCGUGUUGUAGGCU